rnacentral:lncRNA from 1 species
GAACAGAGUCAAAAUGACUUCGAGGUCCCCUGUUCUGUUUUCAGAAAAUCAUUAUAAAUGGUACAAAAAUGGUUAUAAGAUAAAAUUUAUAUUCUUAGACUCCCUAAUGAGUCUAGUUUCAAAUGAAAUAAACGAUAACAUAUUUCGAAUUCUUUAUAAUGAGAAAUUUGAUUCGUAGUGAAGAGUGGUCAGAUUAGUCAAACAGUGAAACA